GCGAGUCUUUGCGGUAAUGCAAGGCAUACGGCUCAGUAACACGUAGUCAACUUACCCUAUGGACGAGGAUAAUCUCGGGAAACUGAGCAUAAUACUCGAUAGAUCAUAAUGCCUGGAAUGGUUUAUGGUUGAAAUGAUUCGUCGCCAUAGGAUGGGACCGCGGCCUAUCAGCUUGUUGGUGAGGUAAUGGCCCACCAAGGCGAUUACAGGUACGGGCUCUGAGAGGAGAAGCCCGGAGAUGGGUACUGAGACAAGGACCCAGGCCCUAUGGGGCGCAGCAGGCGAGAAAACUUUGCAAUGUGCGAAAGCACGACAAGGUUAAUCCGAGUGAUUUCUGCUAAAGAAAUCUUUUGCAAGUCAUAAAACCACUAGUGAAUAAGGGGUGGGCAAGUUCUGGUGUCAGCCGCCGCGGUAAAACCAGCACCUCAAGUGGUCAGGAGGAUUAUUGGGCCUAAAGCAUCCGUAGCCGGCUCUGUAAGUUUUCGGUUAAAUCCAUGUGCUCAACGCAUGGGCUGCCGAAAAUACUGCAUAGCUAGGGAGUGGGAGAGGUAGACGGUACUCGGUAGGAAGGGGUAAAAUCCUUUGAUCUAUCGAUGACCACCUGUGGCGAAGGCGGUCUACCAGAACACGUUCGACGGUGAGGGAUGAAAGCUGGGGGAGCAAACCGGAUUAGAUACCCGGGUAGUCCCAGCUGUAAACGAUGCAGACUCGAUGAUGCAUUGGCAUACAGCCAGUGCAGUGUCGCA
rnacentral:rRNA from 1 species